rnacentral:rRNA from 1 species
AAUAGAUACCCGGGUAGUCCACGCCGUAAACGAUGAGUGCUAAGUGUUAGGGGGUUUCCGCCCCUUAGUGCUGCAGCUAACGCAUUAAGCACUCCGCCUGGGGAGUACGGUCGCAAGACUGAAACUCAAAGGAAUUGACGGGGGCCCGCACAAGCGGUGGAGCAUGUGGUUUAAUUCGAAGCAACGCGAAGAACCUUACCAGGUCUUGACAUCCCAUUGACCGCUAUGGAGACAUAGCUUUCCCUUCGGGGACAGUGGUGACAGGUGGUGCAUGGUUGUCGUCAGCUCGUGUCGUGAGAUGUUGGGUUAAGUCCCGCAACGAGCGCAACCCUUGUUCUUAGUUGCCAUCAUUUAGUUGGGCACUCUAAGGAGACUGCCGGUGACAAACCGGAGGAAGGUGGGGAUGACGUCAAAUCAUCAUGCCCCUUAUGACCUGGGCUACACACGUGCUACAAUGGACGGUACAAACGGUUGCCAACCCGCGAGGGGGAGCUAAUCCGAUAAAGCCGUUCUCAGUUCGGAUUGUAGGCUGCAACUCGCCUAC